rnacentral:rRNA from 1 species
AUUAUUAUAAGUAAAAUCUGCUCCAUGAAUUUAAAUAGCCGCAGAAUUUUAACUGUGCUAAGGUAGCAUAAUCAUUUACCUUUUAAUUAAAGGUUUGCAUGAACGAUUUAACAAUUAAAUCAUUUUUUUAUAAAUACCUAUUUAACCUAAAUUAAAAAUAAAAAUGUUUUUAUAAUUGAGAAAGACGAUAAGACCCUAUUGAACUUUACUAAUGUUUAGCUGGGGAAGCUAAUUAAAUAUAAUUUUAAUUUUCAAUUCUUAAUAAAUUUCUAAUAUAAUUAAUUUAAUCAAGUUACCAUAGGGAUAACAGCGUAAUAUAAUUUUAAAGCUCAUAUUAAAAAUCAAGAUUACGACCUCGAUGUUGAAUUAGAAUUCCUAUAAAGCGCAAUAGCUAAAAAGAGGGUCUGU